UUUCUCUACGUUAUCCAGGUGUGUUUAUAGCCAUGGCUCAUGUGGAUUCAGACUGAACAUAACUGGGAAGAAGCUGAUUCCUCUUACUCCUCAGUGUUUUCAGCGAAAGAAGAACAAUGAUGUUUUCUCUGUGCCCAUACCUCUGUUCUCUGGUGCCCUUGGAAGAUGGGGGCAUGGGAUGUUAAAAACUGAUGUGACCUUGAAGACCCAAGAAAAAAAUGCUUCAAGUUCCAAGAGGCAGUAAGCAGCAACCUUUUCAUAUUAAUUACUGCCCCUAGAAUACUG
rnacentral:lncRNA from 1 species